rnacentral:rRNA from 1 species
UACGGGGGGGGCAAGCGUUGUUCGGAAUUACUGGGCGUAAAGGGCUCGUAGGCGGCCAACUAAGUCAGACGUGAAAUCCCUCGGCUUAACCGGGGAACUGCAUCUGAUACUGGAUGGCUUGAAUUCGGGAGAGGGAUGCAGAAUUCCAGGUGUAGCAGUGAAAUGCGUAGAUAUCUGGAGGAAUACCGGUGGCGAAGGCGGCAUCCUGGACCGACAUUGACGCUGAUGAGCGAAAGCUAGGGGAGCAAACGGG